UACGGGGGGGGGCAAGCGUUGUUCGGAAUUACUGGGCGUAAAGGGCUCGUAGGCGGCCAACUAAGUCGGAUGUGAAAUCCCUCGGCUCAACCGGGGAACUGCGUCUGAUACUGGGUGGCUUGAAUCCGGGAGAGGGAUGCGGAAUUCCAGGUGUAGCGGUGAAAUGCGUAGAUAUCUGGAGGAACACCGGUGGCGAAGGCGGCAUCCUGGACCGGUAUUGACGCUGAGGCGCGAAAGCCAGGGGAGCAAAGCGGG
rnacentral:rRNA from 1 species